rnacentral:rRNA from 1 species
UACGUAGGGGGCGAGCGUUGUCCGGAAUCAUUGGGCGUAAAGCGCGUGUAGGCGGCUCGGUAAGUCCGGUGUGAAACCUUGGGGCUCAACCCCAAGCCUGCACUGGAUACUGUCGAGCUUGAGUCCGGGAGGGGAGAGCGGAAUUCCUAGUGUAGCGGUGAAAUGCGCAGAUAUCAGGAGGAACACCGGUGGCGAAGGCGGGUCUCUGGGCCGAUACUGACGCUGAGGAGCGAAAGCGUGGGGAGCGAACAGG